rnacentral:rRNA from 1 species
GAUAAACGCUGGCGGCGCACAUAAGACAUGCAAGUCGAACGGACUUAACUCAUUCUUUUAGAUUGAGAGCGGUUAGUGGCGGACUGGUGAGUAACACGUAAGCAACCUACCUAUCAGAGGGGAAUAACAGUGAGAAAUGACUGCUAAUACCGCAUAUGCCAUAGGAAUCACAUGGUUCCAGUGGGAAAGGAGCAAUCCGCUGAUAGAUGGGCUUACGGCUGAUUAGCUAGUUGGUGGGUAACGGCCGUACCAAGGCGGCGAUCAGUAGCCGGACUGAGAGGUUCAACGGCCACAUUGGGACUGAGAUACGGCCCAGACUCCUACGGGAGGCAGCAGUCGGGAAUUUUGCGCAAUGGAGGAAACUCUGACGCAGUGACGCCGCGUGCAGGAGAAGGUUUUCGGAUUGUAAACUGCUUUAGACAGGGAAGAAACAAGACAGUACCUGUAGAUAAGCUCCGGCUAAACUACGUG